UUUACUCUUUUUUAUAGAUAAAUUAACAAUUAAUACAAAAUAAUAAUAUAAAUCUAAAUCUAAAUAAAUAUAAUAAUAGUAUAAAUCUAAAACCUAAUACUAACAUAAUUCUAAUCUAAUAUAAAAAUUAAAUUCACUAAAUAAAAAACUAAAUAAAAUAGUGUUAAAACAAAUAAUAAUGAUAAAAAUUAAAAUAUGAUAUAAACCGGAAAAUAAAAUAAUAAUGAUGCUAAAAUAAAAUGCUAAUAACAAUGAAAGAAAAAUAAAUCUAAUAAUAAUAGUAAUGACAAUAUAGUAAUAAUCAAAAUAUCACUAUUAUUAAUAAUAUUAAAUAUCUAAAUAUUCUAAUCCUAAUAACUAAAUAAAAUUUGAUGUUAAUAGUGGCCGUAAUAAUAAUAAUAAUGAUAAAAAUCUAAAAUUAAACUAAUCCUAAUAACUAUAAUAAUAAAACAAAAAUUUAAUAAGAAAAUAAUAUUAAUAAUAAAAAAUAAAAAUCUAAGAAAUGUGAC
rnacentral:lncRNA from 1 species